rnacentral:lncRNA from 1 species
CUAGGGUUUGAAUAUUGCUGCUUUGUUUCCUGGUGUACUUUAAGGGACAUAAAAAUGGGUUGAGGCAAAAUACCCCUUAAAACAGGGCACGCUCUGUGCACUGCCUUGAGGCUCCAUUAGAGAGCCUUCUUUCCUACAUGUAUCUUUACAAGGCAAAUAACCUGGGACGCAGAUGGCAGGAAUGCCAGACCUCCUGCAGGAGUAGAGAUGGCAAAUGACAACUAGAAACAACCCUUUACCUUCAGACCCUAAGGCUAUUGGCAGAUAUGACCACCUAGUCCAGAAAGGGGUUAUUUGGUCAUGAUCUCCCAUUCAGACUGAUGCUGUUACAGAGCUGUGAUGUGUAUUUCCAGUAGCCACAUGCUGCUGAGAGCAGGCCAGUGUUCAGACUGAAUCUGUAGGAGGAUUAGUGUCCCUGAGAAAGGGCUCUUUCCGUGGGCACUCUCGGCAAUGACUGUCUCUGCUCACACGGGGAGCUGAUGUCUUGGUGUCCCCUUGACUUUGCCCUGGAGGUUUUUGGCUAGGCCAGGGCUGAAAUGUCUGGAGGUAAUCAGAAAUGGUUUCCUGACGACACCUCUGGGGUGUACUCCAACUGUUGAGUCCAUCAGCUGAAUUUCCUUUAUGGGCCAAAACCUUCGAUCAGCUGAUGUCUGACUGAAAUCUGUCCCAGCUUUUGGCUCCUUCACUUCUCACCAAGUACCUCUGCUGCAGCAGACUCGUGUCCUGGGCCAAUUUUACCAGGCUCUGACCUCUUCUGGAGGUGUCUGGGCUGCGUUAUGAGGCAGCAGGCGUACCCUCCCUCUCCCCUCAGAGCACCGUGGGUCCCUGCAGACAGAUCAGGCCAGCGCUGGCUGCUUCCCCCUCGCAUUGCUCUUGUGUUUUGUUUUUUUGCACAGAGCACAGGCAGAAAAACCGUGGAGGACAGGGAAAAGCGAGACCCCGUCCCCAUCGCCUCACGGGCUCGCCUCACGGGCUCGCCUCACGGGCUCGCCUCACGGGCUCGCCUCACGGGCUCGCCUCACGGGCUCGCCUCACGGGCUCCGCUCGGCGCCCUUGACGCGGGGCGGAGCCGCCUCAGCGCUGGCGCUCGGUGCCGCCGCUCGGUGCCGCCGCCCCCCGGCCGCACCGACCACCUGAUCCCGCUCCGCCCGCCGCAGCCGCAGCCUUUGUGUGAGGAGCGGGGCGGCGCGGGGCGGCCCCAUGAGGCGGUGAGGGAUGGCGGCGGGCGGCGGCGGCGGGCGGCCGCCGGGCCCCGACUCGUCGCUGGAGCCGUACGUGCAGACCCGCAUCUUCAAGAUCAUCGUGAUCGGCGACUCCAACGUGGGCAAGACGUGCCUGACCUUCCGCUUCUGCGGGGGCACCUUCCCCGACAAGACCGAGGCCACCAUCGGCGUGGACUUCCGCGAGAAGACGGUGGAGAUCGAGGGCGAGCGCAUCAAGCUUACAGAAGUUCUUACAGAAGAGCAGGGUGCAGGUUGGAAGGGACCUCUGGAAGCCAUCUGGUCCAAUCCCCCUGCUCAAGGAAGACCACCCAGAGCAGGCUGCCCAGCACCAUGUCCAGGUGGCUGUUUAAGAUCUCUAAGGAGGGAGACUCUGUAACCUCUCUGGGCAACCUGCUCCAGUGCUCUGUCACCCACACAGUAAAGAAGUGCUUCCUGAGGUUUAGAAGGAACUUCUGCUGUUGCUGGGCAAUGCUGAAAGAGCCAGGCUGCUUCUUUGCACACUCUGUCCAGACCAUUAACAAAAAUGUUGAACGGGAAUGGACACAGUUUUGACCGCUGGGGUACUACGUUCAUUACUGGCCUCCACCAAGACUUUGUACCACCGACUGCUACCCUCCAGGCCUGGAUGAUCAGCCAGUGUUUGAUCCACCCCACUGCUCAUCCAGCCAGACUUCAUCAGCUUCUCUGUGAGUAUCUUAUGGCAGACAAGUGUUGAAAGCCUUUAUUGAAAGUGCACAUAGACAAUAUCCACUGCUCUUACCUUGUCUAGCAAUGCCUCUAGGCCUGUUUGCCUGCCUACCUGUUCACUGGGAUGAACAGCUUUUUUUGAAUAUUAGCCAGCUUUCUUGGGCCCAUCUUCUGUCUUUCCUUUUCAAAAUUCAUCAUUGUGGUCUCAAAUUUUGCCCUACUCCUUCCUCUUGGGAUCCUGA